CAGUCGCCACGGUAAUACGUAGGGUGCAAGCGUUAAUCGGAAUUACUGGGCGUAAAGCGUGCGCAGGCGGUCCGCUAAGACAGAUGUGAAAUCCCCGGGCUUAACCUGGGAACUGCAUUUGUGACUGGCGGGCUAGAGUAUGGCAGAGGGGGGUAGAAUUCCACGUGUAGCAGUGAAAUGCGUAGAGAUGUGGAGGAAUACCGAUGGCGAAGGCAGCCUCCUGGGCCAAUACUGACGCUCAUGCACGAAAGCGUGGGGAGCGAACAGGAUUAGAUACCCCCGUAGUCCAUGUCUCUUAUAC
rnacentral:rRNA from 1 species